UGACCGCGCAACGCCGCGUGAGUGAAGAAGGUUUUCGGAUCGUAAAACUCUGUUGUUAGAGAAGAACAAGGAUGAGAGUAAAAUGUUCAUCCCUUGACGGUAUCUAACCAGAAAGCCACGGCUAACUACGUGCCAGCAGCCGCGGUAAUACGUAGGUGGCAAGCGUUGUCCGGGAUUUAUUGGGCGUAAAGCGAGCGCAGGCGGUUUCUUAAGUCUGAUGUGAAAGCCCCCGGCUCAACCGGGGAGGGUCAUUGGAAACUGGGAGACUUGAGUGCAGAAGAGGAGAGUGGAAUUCCAUGUGUAGCGGUGAAAUGCGUAGAUAUAUGGAGGAACACCAGUGGCGAAGGCGGCUCUCUGGUCUGUAACUGACGCUGAGGCUCGAAAGCGUGGGGAGCGAACAGGAUUAGAUACCCUGGUAGUCCACGCCGUAA
rnacentral:rRNA from 1 species